GGCUGGAAGGAGCUGGGCAUCCGGCCUGAGGCGCAGCGGUCGCGUUAGUUCGGCCCAAUGGCGGCACCGCUGCUUCACACGUUGUUUGUCGGGAGAUGCGGCCGCUUCGUCCUCUGCAGUCAAGACGCUGGGCGCGUCGAGGACUGGCUUCUACUUGAAUGAAGACAAAAAUCUAGGCCGGGCGCGGUUGCUCACGCCUGUAAUCCCAGCACUUUGGGAGGCCGAGGUGGGCGGAUCACCUGAAGUCAGGAGUUCGAGACCAGCCUGGCCAACAUGCGAAACCUCGUCUCUACUGAAAAUAUAAAAAUUAGCCAGGCGUGGUGGCAGGUGCCUGUAAUCCCAGCUACUCAGGAGGCUGAGGCAGGAGAAUUGCUUGAACCCGGAGAUGGAGGUUGCAGUUAAGCUGAGAUCACACCACUGCACUCCAGCCUGGGCAGCAGAGCAAGACUCCAUCUCAAAAAAAAAAAAAAAUCCAGCCACGUAGAGAUUUGGGAAAAGAGUAUUUCCAAUAGAGUGAACAGAUUUCAAAUAUGCGUGCAUUAGAGAAUGAUUUUUUCAAUUCUCCCCCAAGAAAAACUGUUCGGUUUGGUGGAACUGUGACAGAAGUCUUGCUGAAGUACAAAAAGGGUGAAACAAAUGACUUUGAGUUGUUGAAGAACCAGCUGUUAGAUCCAGACAUAAAGGAUGACCAGAUCAUCAACUGGCUGCUAGAAUUCCGUUCUUCUGUCAUGUACUUGACAAAAGACUUUGAGCAACUUAUCAGUAUUAUAUUGAGAUUGCCUUGGUUGAAUAGAAGUCAAACAGUAGUGGAAGAGUAUUUGGCUUUUCUUGGUAAUCUUGUAUCAGCAUAGACUGUUUUCCUCAGACCGUGUCUCAGCAUGAUUGCUUCCCAUUUUGUGCCUCCCUGAGUGAUCAUUAAGGAAGGCGAUGUAGAUGUUUCAGAUUCUGAUGAUGAAGAUGAUAGGCACCGUGGUUUCUCAUGCCAAUACUGGUGGAAAAAUUUCCAUUUGUUCGAAAAUCAGAGAGAACACUGGAAUGUUACGUUCAUAACUUACUAAGGAUUAGUGUAUAUUUUCCAACCUUGAGGCAUGAAAUUCUGGAGCUUAUUAUUGAAAAACUACUCAAGCUGGAUGUGAAUGCAUCCCGGCAGGGUAUUGAAGAUGCUGAAGAAACAGCAAAUCAAACUUGUGGUGGGACAGAUUCCACGGAAGGAUUGUUUAAUAUGGGAUUCGCAGAGGCAUUUUUGGAACAUCUUUGGAAAAACUUGCAGGAUCCAAGUAAUCCUGCCAUCAUCAGGCAGGCUGCUGGAAAUUAUAUUGGAAGCUUUUUGGCAAGAGCUAAAUUUAUUUCUCUUAUUACUGUAAAACCAUGCCUAGAUCUUUUGGUUAACUGGCUGCACAUAUACCUUAAUAACCAGGAUUCGGGAACAAAGGCAUUCUGCGAUGUUGCUCUCCAUGGACCAUUUUACUCAGCCUGCCAAGCUGUGUUCUACACCUUUGUUUUUAGACACAAGCAGCUUUUGAGCGGAAACCUGAAAGAAGGUUUGCAGUAUCCUCAGAGUCUGAAUUUUGAGCGGAUAGUGAUGAGCCAGCUAAAUCCCCUGAAGAUUUGCCUGCCCUCAGUGGUUAACUUUUUUGCUGCAAUCACAAAGAUGAAGACUUGUGGAUAUGGAUGGUGGUGAUGGUUGCACAACAAUAUCAAUUUAUUUUAUACCACUGAACCGUGCACUUCAAAAUGGUUAAGAUGGUAAGUUUUAUGUUGUGUAUUUUACCAUAAUAAAAAAAAUUGUAGAGGGAAAAACAGUCUGCCUCCACUUUUGAUAUGGGACUGCUAACAUCUUCCACCCUCCCUCUCCCCCUCUGCCCCACAUCUGGGCAAGCUAAGAAAGCCUGCUGCUCUCUCCUCUGGCACCAGCUGGAAAUUCAUACCCAACAAGCCCUAGCCCUCCCACCAGACCCACAUUUCAUCCCCAUCCCCAUCGCAUCCCCAUCCCCAUCCCCAUCCCUAACCACCAUAAAUGCUAAGGGAGUUUCCUUGCCUGGUUUUCUGAAACCAUUUUUGGACCUGCUUGGGAAUCUGCCCUGCUCUCUCAGAAAGCUUCAUUAUAUGAGCAAUAAACCUUUUCCUACCCUC
ensembl:lncRNA novel transcript